ensembl:lncRNA
AAGUAAAGAAAACAUUUCUCAAAAAAUGAGAAGGUGUGUCCAAACUUUUGACUGGUACUGUACACUGGGAGGUCAGUCAUCUGGCUCUCAACCACAUAGGGAUGAGCUCCAGCUAUCAGCAAUCGUCUGCUUCCCCUUUAGGAACAGAUUUCAAAUGAGGACUAUCUCCCAGACUCAGAUGAUGGAAGCGCACUUUCUGAUCAUAUCGUUCUUCAUUUCCUUUAGUCAUCUUUGCAGCAGUGGACCGAGCCAACUGAUAAGCCUUAUGAAGUUCUUGUUCAUUCUUGACACAUAUUUGGUGUAUGACGCUGUCGAUGACUCCCAUCUGCAGACACACCAAAACAGACCAUCUACAGUUCAGUGCCAGAUGACCUCAGGGAUCUCAAAGUGUCAAACGCUGCACUCAGAUCCAGAAGAGGCAAGGACGGAGAGCUUUUUAGAGUCAGCAUUAAUUCUAAGGUAAUUUACAACCUUGACUAACACCGUUUCUGUGCUAUGAUGGGAAUAAAGGUACAAUUAGCUAUCUCACUCUGCUCUGAUGUCGUUGGUGCCCACAUGUACGAUGAUGAUGUUGUUGACCUUGGUGUAGCAGGCGAGGAAGCUUGGUGGAAGUCCGUGGUGGAUGUCACGGUCCCUGGCACCAGGGAUGCAGUGAACCUUGGAAGGAGCGCUCGGUGAAGAGGGGGAUCUAGAUGUCUCUGACCAUGGAGCUGCGAUGACGUAGGUGGAGGUUGUUGAGUCAGGCGGGAGAAGGCGUUGAGGGGCGCUGACUGUGUGGAGGGACCAGGAUGAGAGGCACGGGUACUGUACGUGGACGAUGCUGGAUCCGGUGUUGCGUUGGAGCAGGUCCGUAGGGGGGUCGCAGCGAGGGCACGGGUGGCAGAGAAGGGAUGUCAUCUAGAGGUAGCGGAUGUUUUACAUUUCUUUUUUCUCUUGUUCAUUGAAUUGUUAAUGACAUCAAACAUACAGUGGCAUAAAAAUGGAGAAAUCUCGAUUUGCACAACUACCAGGGUACUACCAAUUACAAUUUAUGGUUAGAAAUUUACAAAAAACUGAGCUUGCCUCGUGUUACAAAACAUGAAACAGCUAUAGGCUAUGGAAAUGGAGUGAUUAUAAUAGUGAUUUACCGUGAAGGAUUGCGUGUUGCGGCCGUCACCAGCCAAUUGGGCACUGUUGUGCACCCUGCCACCCUUACUGAUAGGUGAAAAUUCACCCUAGUUACCUCAGGACUCCGGAGUUGCAUAAAAGUAUAUUUAUUAGACAAACAACAAUUGCAAUCGGGCUCACUCCCAGCACAAGGCUGAAAGUGAAGCAAUCAUAAACACAUCGCACAAGGUUUAUAUAGACAGAAGUUUUGCGUUCAGCAGGGGAAACCACGUGGUGGAUUUCUCACGUCCGAGGCAAGGAUGGAAGUUUUGCAAGGUCGGAAGAAGCACAGUUCGAACCUUCUUAUCACCUCUGGUCUAAACAUGCUCUUGUACAUAUGUAGACUAAGUGGCACCUAAUAUUCUAAGUUACACAAAAGCCAUGUUUCUGCUUUCAUAGGCACAUGAUUCAUACAUUCUUAAGUAAUUAACAGUGUUUGCAAAUUAUCUCCAUCACUUACAAAGCUUAUAACUAAAAUCUCCACAUGUACCAAACCGAACUAAAUGCUAAAUAAUAUUCCCAUACACCUAGCCAGGCAGCCUCUCUCUCUCCCUCUCCUUUUAUAUCACAUUGCUAAUGCCUAUAAUAAUACUGAUAAAAUGGCCAUAUUGCCUGUUAAUUGACUACCUCAAAGUAUCUCAUCUGUUUCCCAAAUUGAUGUCUACUAACAAAAAUGUUCUCUCUCCCUUAUAGCAUGAUCCAAUUGCUGAUGGAUGUGGAAACAUUGGACACAUAUGGACAGCCAAACUCUACCCACUCACUCUGUUUUUUCGUUCUCUCCUAUCUUCGCUAUGGGACCCUGCUGUAGUCUCUCCACCCGAUCUACCUGUAGAAACCCUCGGCCCACUGCACCCACCGCCACCGCACUGCCGUACACUUACUCUACCCCAUACCCUAUGCUAGCAUUUAUAUACAAUAUAUAAUAUUGCCACCAUCAACAUGUUUCUCUGUUCCUACUCCCCUUACCCCUGUUACAGUAACCCUAUGAGCACAGUGUAUACCCACUAAACUGGUCUUGUCUGUAUCAUGUAUUUACCACCGGAUGUCUGUAUAUAUAUUAUGUACAUCUACCAAAUGCAUGCUGUGUACAACACUCGUUGUUUCCUUUCCCCUUCUGCCGCACAACCCCCCCCUUCCUAUUUCCACCCGGCC